AAGGAUCAUUGAACAUGUCUGUCCAAUCCGGUCACCAAUCGUACCCCCGGACCAGCCGUGAGUGCGCUUGCGGUGUGCAAGGAGCGGGCGGCCAGUCGGCUACGCUUCGGCGGGCCUCUGGCGUGAGACCGAGACAGCCUUGCAGGCCGGACCCGGACUGCGACCCGGCCGGUCCUCCGACCGACUCACAAACCUGAUGCUGAAGCUUUUGGAGUCCGCCUGCCGCUCCUGGCGAGCUGGUUGGCCGGACGCUGAACCUAAGACAACUCUCAACAACGGAUAUCUUGGCUCCCGCCGGAUAUCUUGGCUCCCUAUAAACCCGCACCGAUGAAGAACGCAGCGAAAUGCGAUACCUAGUGUGAAUUGCAGAAUCAUGUGAAUCAUCGAGUCUUUGAACGCAAAUUGCGCCCAAGGUCUAGGCCAAGGGCAUAGCUGGCUCAGCGUCGAUGCACUCCCUCGCUUCCCAUGCGGAGGCGGACGUGGUUCUCCCGGGACGACGGAUCGGGUGGACUGAAGAUAAGACGGCUUCCUGAGAUCCCUCAUGGGCAGACUCCGGCAGCACGGUAAGCGACCCUCCUCGGUUGUUUUGCCUACCUGUCUAGGGGACUGUCUUUGGGCGUCUGAGGGGCUGGGUAAUGCAGGAACCAGCAGCAGCUGGCGACAUCAAACUUCGACCUGAGCUCAGGUAAGAGCACCCGCUGAACUUAA
rnacentral:sRNA from 1 species